rnacentral:lncRNA from 1 species
GAGCGAGCGGCGGGUGUCCCUGAGAGGCCACCUUUCGACCUUCGAGGGCCAGGAGGAUACGGGGAGGUGGCCGGAGGGAGUUCCCGAACACAGGUCUUCCUGUUCCCGCCGAGCAGGUGUUGGCGGUGCCAGGCCCGGCCUGGCGGGCCCGGGCUGGCAGCCAAAUACCCAGCGUCUGUGCUCGGGACGGGAGUGUUCGUCCAGGACGUGCAGCUCCGGAGCCUGCGCGGGCGACCUUGACCACCUUUGUCGGCUGUUUCCCCCUGAGGGAAGUAUACCUGUCCUGCCAGCCUUGGUCUCUGGCAGGGAAGGUCCUUCCAACAGAGAGGGAAUUGCUUAGAAUUGACUCAACACUGCCUCCUUGCUGAAUGGAUAAUUCAAGCAAACAACUCAAGAGCUGGAUGCUGCCCAGACAGGUAGGCAGCCAGAUAAAGUGAGUGUCCAGGGAAAGAGCAGUAAGGGUCAGAAGAGAAAGAGCCUGGUGUUCUCACUGCCUCCUGCCUUCCUUAUGACUGUCUGUUCAGAAGUCCUCCUAGCAUCUUUCUUCUGCCUUCCCCUGCUCCUGUCCCUGAAACCUUUUCUUCAAAAGAAGUGGAAAAGAGGAACUGGGAACCCAUAUAGCAACAGCAUCACCUGGAAUGAAUUCCUUUAGAACAUACUGUCUUGGAAAUCUGAAGCCUGCAGGGCUGGACAGGCAAGAAGAGCAGUGAGCACUGCAUGAACCUGCAUGUACUCCGAAAUAUUUUUCAAAUGGAAAAGAAAACAGAGAACACAAUUUUCAAAAUAUCUAGAGCCCUCCAAGAAGUCUUUGUAGAGAUCUAUAAAAUCUCAAGGCAAUUUAAAGCAGCCUUCUCCAAAGAAACAGAAAGAAGGAAAUGGAUUGCCUUAGCAAAAAAACAAAUGAAGACACUCCAAAUAACAGAAGAAUGGGAAGGCUACAGACCUUGAAGUCAGAAGAAAAUUUCCUCUCCUUGCCCCGUUUCUCCUUAAAUGGAUCACCAGUACAGUCUCUUACUUCUAGAGCCAUGUUAAGCUUUCUUCCCCAAAGUUGUAAUGUCCUUCUUUUGGUUGUGUCGUGUCCUAAAAUCCUACUCUUUGGUACAAGAUGAAGGUAUAUGAAGAGAUAAUGAAGGAAACAAAUUCAAUGUGUUUGCCAAGAACACAGUCUUUUAAAUAACUCUUAAAGGGUUCGUUUAAAACAGUGUAAUAAAUUGUGGUAAUCUAGUACACAAAGCUAGUAGGAACCUCGUUUAUUAAUAAUAUUUCAACAUUGAGCAGUAGAGGGCAGCACUAUCCUUCUUUUGCAAAAUGUUGAGCACUCUUGAGAAGGAAAAUAAAGGCAAAGCUCCU